AGAGGGGACAAGCAGAAUUAAUGAAGGGAAUCCUUCGUUUUCAAGAACUGCUGUAGCUAAAAUCUUGAUGCAAACUGGAAUGGGACCUAUUAAUUACUCUUUAAUUUUCUGGGUUUGCAUUAAUUUCUAUGCCAUAAUAGGUUGUGUCCUCAUGCAUGUUGCUAGACAGUAGCUAGGCCAGGUCUUGUAAUAUGUUUUUUUUUUCUUUCAUUCAAAUUGUUUUUAAAGGGAUGGACACUCUACAAGUCUAUUUCGUACUAGCUUAUAGUACAAUAUCUAUUAAACCUGCUAUGGUUAAAUUCAAUCUAUUAAACCUGCUAUGGUUAAAUUCGAAGAGCUUUCCUAAUUUGACACCAUUUUU
rnacentral:lncRNA from 1 species